UACGAAGGGUGCAAGCGUUAUCCGGAUUUAUUGGGUUUAAAGGGUCCGUAGGCGGAUCUGUAAGUCAGUGGUGAAAUCUCACAGCUUAACUGUGAAACUGCCAUUGAUACUGCAGGUCUUGAGUGUUAUUGAAGUAGCUGGAAUAAGUAGUGUAGCGGUGAAAUGCAUAGAUAUUACUUAGAACACCAAUUGCGAAGGCAGGUUACUAAGCAACAACUGACGCUGAUGGACGAAAGCGUGGGGAGCGAACAGG
rnacentral:rRNA from 1 species